rnacentral:lncRNA from 1 species
UAUUUUGUUUCUACUUAUAUAUUUUAUUAAAGUUUAUAUUAUUUUGUUUCAAAUUACUUAUUUAUUUUAUUUUGAGAUAAUUAUUUUUGCUAUUAAAUUUUCAUGCAUUUACUGAUUAUUUUAUUUUGUUUCUCUUUUAAAGUAUCAGGGUUUCAUACGGAAACUCAUCUGUUACAAAAGGAUUUCAUUUUUUUGAACUUAUUUGAACUCCAUAGUUUUUCUAUGUUCAAAAUGCACCAUGCAAAGCCACAUCAUCAAUUUUCAACCCUUUCUGACUUCAUUUGUUAUUUUUCAUGCAUUUACUGAUUUUUUUCAGCUAUAAGACCCUGAAAUUGAAAAGCAUUUCAAAUGAACUCUGAAAAGGUUAAAAAUUGGCAUGCUGUCAUCAUUUCACCCACGUAGCAUGUGUAAGAAAGUAGAGAGGCUUACGGCCAAAACUGGAUGCACUUCGUGUACAAAACGGACAAUCUCUUUGGAAAAAUCAGGGUUUCAUACGGAAACUUGUCUGUUACAAAAGGAUUUCAUUUUUUUGAACUUAUUUGAACUCUAUAGUUUUUCUAUGUUCAAAAUGCACCAUUCAAAGCCACAUCAUCAAUUUUCAACCCUUUCUGACUUCAUUUGUUAUUUUUCAUGCAUUUACUGAUUUUUUUUCAGCUAUAAGACCCUGAAAUUGAAAAGCAUUUCAAAUGAACUCUGAAAAGGUUAAAAGUUAGCAUGGUAUCAUCAUUUCACCCACAUAGGAUGUGCAAGAAAGUAG